AGUGAACGCUGGCGGUAGGCCUAACACAUGCAAGUCGAACGGCAGCACAGUAAGAGCUUGCUCUUACGGGUGGCGAGUGGCGGACGGGUGAGGAAUAGAUCGGAAUCUACUUUUUCGUGGGGGAUAACGUAGAGACACUUACGCUAAUACCGAAUACGACCUACGGGAGAAAUCAGGGGAUAUUCGUACUUUUGGCGAUUGAAUUAGCCGAUGCCGGAUUAGCUAGUUGGCGGGGUAAAGGCCCACCAAGGCGACGAUCCGUAGCUGGUCUGAGAGGAUGAUCGGCCACACUGGAACUGAGACACGGUCCAGACUCCUACGGGAGGCAGCAGUGGGGAAUAUUGGGCAAUGGGCGAAAGCCUGAUGCAGCCACACCGCGUGGGUGAAGAAGGCCUUCGGGUUGUAAAGCCCUUUUGUUGGGAAAGAAAAUCAGCAGAUUAAUACCUCGAUGUUCUGACGGUACCCAAAGAAAAAGCACCGGCUAACUUCGUG
rnacentral:rRNA from 1 species